rnacentral:tRNA from 1 species
GCAGUGAAUGCCGAGUGGUAGAGGCGUCUGACCAGAAAUCAGAUGGGAUCUUCCCGUGUAGGUUCGAAUCCUACUCACUGCG